AUGGAUGUAGGGCAUGCUACGAGGCGAAUCUGCAAAUUUUCAUUUGAAAGCAUUGUUGUCCUGAAAAGCUUUUGUAUAGUUUUUCUUCUGGAUGAAAAUUUACUAGCCUUUGUCGCCAGGGUUGAUACACUUCCUUGGAUCUUCCCAUCUCUGGCCGGUUGGGUGGCUGCUGUCUUGGCGGUUCGGUUUGGUUUGGCUCUGUGGCCGUCUUUUCUUUGCGUUUAUGCUUCAUUCAAGCAUGUUUGUCUCUCCUGGUGUUGCUCGUGGUUCUGCCUGGUGCUGCAGGUGCUGCAGGUCCUGCCAUGGAUAGUUGCCGCUCCAUGCCAGUCAGUGCUUGCCUUUCAUGCUCCACUCUGGGGUUGCUUGGGUUCAUCUCUGGUUGUGGGUGGUACGCGUCGUUCUUGUUUGUUUGUUCGUGGUGAUGAGGUUUUGGUUGUGCCAUCAGUGGCGUUGCAGUGGUAUUAUUUCAUCUGUAGCGUCGUAAUGGUGGUGCUGUCUUUGGUGUUGUAA
rnacentral:rRNA from 1 species